UACGUAGGUGGCAAGCGUUGUCCGGAUUUACUGGGCGUAAAGGGCGUGCAGGCGGUUUGUUAAGUGCAGGGUGAAAGCUCCCGGCUCAACUGGGAGAGGUCCUUGCUUACUGGCAAACUCGAGGGAGGCAGAGGAAAGUGGAAUUCCCGGUGUAGUGGUGAUAUGCGUAGAUAUCGGGAGGAACACCUGUGGCGAAGGCGGCUUUCUGGGCCUUACCUGACGCUGAGACGCGAAAGCGUGGGGAGCGAACCGG
rnacentral:rRNA from 1 species